UAAUGACAUCGUUGCAUUUCAUGUGAGAUACAUGUUGUGCGCUGGUGUGUGUUAGCACACAUGCAAAGCAUAAUCAAUGACGUCACACGGCGUGAAGCAAACGCGUCGUGCGCUGCGUUGUGUGCGUUGUGUGCUGGUGUGUGUGACCAUACAAAGAAAGCUUUACAUCAGCGCGCUGUGGCCACUGGCUGAACCGACUCAAGCGGGUUGACUGUUCCUUUGACGAAAGCUAUCCUAACCGCGUACAAAAUGGCGCAAUAUGUCAGGAAUUUGUCAUGUAUCAAGUUAUAUUUUCUUUUGUAUAAUAAUUACAUUCGUUUAGUUAAGCAACUUGUUUAUAGUGAUAAUUGUUGAAAAGUGUAGAAAAAUGACACCUGCAUUAUAUCCUGGGAUGAAGAAACGUUAUUUUAUGUCGAUUUCUUUAGAUGACAAAGGAGGUAACCAAAUAGCAUAUAUUACAAAAUCUGAGGACAAUAAUAAGGAUCGUUUAGCAAGGUUAAAAUAAUUAUUUUACCACAUUAGGACAUUAACAUAUCCAUGUGUUUGACAUAACCUCACUUCUUAAAUCUCUUAAAUUAGUCGGUGGAGAAGUGGCUCGAGGAUGAUUGUCUGAAUAUAAGUCGUACAAAAUUGGAAUGAAACGGUGAACAAUAUACAGAUCUUUAGACAGGCUUAAAUAAUGUAUGUGUAGGAGCAACUUGAAGAUGAUGGAGAUUUAUCUUCUUAAUAUAAAACCUCUAAAAUUGGGAACAGUAUGUCAUGUAUGCAUGAACUUGAUGUACCCUAGCAAUUGAUGUAUAAUGAACUGGAGAUAGAAUGA